UUUCCUCCCAAACUCUGUACUUUUCUUGCUUCAACUCUCAUUAUUAAAAAUCUACCACGGAUGGGCACAGUGGCUCAUGCCUAUAAUCCCAACACUUUGGGAGGCCGAGGUGGGCAGAUCACUUGAGCUAAGGAGUUCGAGACCAGCCUGAGCAACAUGGCAAAACCCCAUCUCUAUAAAAAAAUCAAAAACUUAGCUGGGCGUGGUAGCAUAUGCCUAUAGUCCCAGCUACUUGGGAAGCUGAGGUAGAAGGAUUGAUUGAACCCAGGAAAUUGAGGCUACAGUGAGCCCAGAUUGUGUCACUGCACUCCAGCGUGGGCAACAACAGAAUAAAACCCUGUCUCAAAAAAAUAAAAAAUAAAGAAACCUACCUAAAAUACUGUUGUGCUUUCCUGCCCAAAGAGGAAUGCAUGCUACCUGGGAUUUUGUAGUAUCUCAGGGUCAUUAUUGUAAAGUAAUUUUUAUUACAUUGUUUGGACAGAAUUUGUGCCUGACCUAAACCCCUAUCCUGAAUGUUGACUUUAAAUAAAUAAAACCUUAUCU
rnacentral:lncRNA from 10 species